rnacentral:misc_RNA from 1 species
CCGCUUUCUUCGACCACAAUCGGCCAAAUUGCAGGGAAGCAUCUUCAAAUCGUUUGAACAUCGCGCGCUCCUAGUGACCAGACUUGGGCGCCGGAGCGACCUGUUCGUUUUGCUCGCGCCACGACCGGGGCGCCGUGGGACGCAGCGUCGUAUAGGGAGCGACCGUCGAUCGAUAACCCGCUACAGCCACCGGUACCGAGGGAUC